rnacentral:rRNA from 1 species
CGAGCGUUGUCCGGAAUUAUUGGGCGUAAAGAGCUCGUAGGCGGCUGGUCGCGUCUGCCGUGAAAGGCCUGGGCUUAACUUGGGUUUUGCGGUGGAUACGGGCCGGCUAGAGGUAGGUAGGGGAGAACGGAAUUCCUGGUGUAGCGGUGAAAUGCGCAGAUAUCAGGAGGAACACCGGUGGCGAAGGCGGUUCUCUGGGCCUAUCCUGACGCUGAGGAGCGAAAGCGUGGGGAGCGAACAGGAUUAGAUACCCUGGUAGUCCACGCUGUAAACGUUGGGCGCUAGGUGUGGGGGGCCUCUCCGGCUCUCUGUGCCGCAGCUAACGCAUUAAGCGCCCCGCCUGGGGAGUACGGCCGCAAGGCUAAAACUCAAAGGAAUUGACGGGGGCCCGCACAAGCGGCGGAGCAUGCGGAUUAAUUCGAUGCAACGCGAAGAACCUUACCUGGGUUUGACAUGGCCGCAAAACCUGCAGAGAUGUAGGGUCCUUCGGGGGCGGUCAC